CUGCUGUAUACAAAUUAUCUAGUUAAUAAGGAGUUAUUUGUAAUAAGAUAAUAUGAAAAGUGAGUCUCUUGUUCGUGAGUAAGAGGUUAGCUUCACAAAAUACAGGCAUUAUCUCUUGAUCUGGGUCUCUUAUACUCUGAAGAUGGCUUCGGAAACAUGAAGCUCUGGAAACUUGAUCUGUAUUGAGAGUUGUGCCAUGAAGAAAUUGCAAGGGUGUGGUACAGGUGUGCAGGAAGUAGCGGCGCCUACUAAAUUGCAUACAAGAAGUUGCCCCACUUACCAGCGACAAGGCUCAGGGUGUCCACGGACAUCUCUCUUGCAACACCCUCCUCUGCUGCUGCUGCUGCUGCUGCUGCUGCUGGUGGUGGUGGUGGUGGUGGUGGUGGUGCAGCAGGUGGCCCAGACCAAUCUUCGUUCUUCGCUACCCGUUCAUCAGACUUGCUGCAAGGACGAGAAACAUGCUUCAGUAUAUGACCAGACUGCACAUUGACUAACGGUUCUACAACUUCCACUACU